AGUGGACGCUGGCGGUAGGCCUAACACAUGCAAGUCGAACGGCAGCACAGUAAGAGCUUGCUCUUACGGGUGGCGAGUGGCGGACGGGUGAGGAAUACAUCGGAAUCUACUUUUUCGUGGGGGAUAACGUAGGGAAACUUACGCUAAUACCGCAUACGACCUACGGGUGAAAGCAGGGGAUCUUCGGACCUUGCGCGAUUGAACGAGCCGAUGUCGGAUUAGCUAGUUGGCGGGGUAAAGGCCCACCAAGGCGACGAUCCGUAGCUGGUCUGAGAGGAUGAUCAGCCACACUGGAACUGAGACACGGUCCAGACUCCUACGGGAGGCAGCAGUGGGGAAUAUUGGACAAUGGGCGCAAGCCUGAUCCAGCCAUACCGCGUGGGUGAAGAAGGCCUUCGGGUUGUAAAGCCCUUUUGUUGGGAAAGAAAAGCAGCAGGUUAAUACCCCGCUGUUCUGACGGUACCCAAAGAAUAAGCACCGGCUAACUUCGUG
rnacentral:rRNA from 1 species